UACGAAGGGGGCUAGCGUUGCUCGGAAUCACUGGGCGUAAAGGGUGCGUAGGCGGGUUUUUAAGUCAGAGGUGAAAUCCUGGAGCUCAACUCCAGAACUGCCUUCGAUACUGGAGAGCUUGAGUCCGGGAGAGGUGAGUGGAACUGCGAGUGUAGAGGUGAAAUUCGUAGAUAUUCGCAAGAACACCAGUGGCGAAGGCGGCUCACUGGCCCGAUACUGACGCUGAGGCACGAAAGCGUGGGGAGCAAACAGG
rnacentral:rRNA from 1 species